UGUGAAUACAAGAAUGCCUGACUCACCAAAUGAUUUCCUAGAAUAGUUAGCUGGGUGGAGACUCACCAAGUUAAUAACUAAACCCAACCCUCAAGUCCAUUGGCAAAGGACAUAUUUGAGCUUAAUGACUCUGUAUACACCCAGAAAGAUAAAGGAGGCUUUGAGAUCCUGCUUGGUAGACUGGGAAGAAGAAAAUGACUCAUUAGGUACCUGGAACACUGAAUGGCCUGCACUGGAAAUAUUUUGAAAGGACAGUGGAAAAGCUGCUGGAAAAAAAUGCGAAAACAAUUUUUUGACUUGAGUUCAUAUUUUUCAUUCAAUGUCUGCGGGGCCCUCAAUGUAACUUUUUUUUUUUUUUGAGAGGGGUCAUCCUCCAAUCAUUAACUACUUCUAAUCUUCACUGCUACACAGAGUUUCCAAUAUUUAGCAACAGAUGGCUUUGCUUUUACCUUAUAGAUGAGGCCAAAGCACCAGGAAUAACUAACCUCAAAUUUGUAACCGUUCUGCUUUUUGCCACCCAACAUACCCUGCAGUGGCUCUCAAACCUGUACCUGAGGAAAGUGGUCCACUCCCACCAGUGAGAAGACUCACAGGGCAGCAGGGAUUCUUAGCUAGAGGGCAUAGCCAUUGAAAGAGAUGAAAACGGAAUCUCCUGGAGUGUGUGUGAUUUCAAAAAGCUCCCCAGCAUUAUUCACAGUAGCCAGGAUAUGAAAACAACCUAGGUGUCUGUCAGCAGAUGAAUGGAUAAAGAAACUGUGGUAUACGUUUAUACAAUAGAAUAUUAUUCAGCCUUAAAAAAGGAGGAG
rnacentral:lncRNA from 1 species